rfam:Solanum lycopersicum cultivar Heinz 1706 chromosome 9, whole genome shotgun sequence.
UGUCUCUUGUGUUUCAUCUGCAGGUUUCCUUGUUGGGCAAAGGAAAAGCACAAGUAUGAAGUGUGUUUUGUUGGGUCCAAGGAAAGCACAAGUAUGAAGUGUAUCUUAUGUUUCAUCCGCAAGUUUCCUUGUUGGGCCGUACUUGUGUUUUUCCUUGGCCCAAUAGAUGGAAACGUCUUCUAAUACCGCCUAGGAUAAGGAGAAAAAGGAGGAAUACGCUCGAUGAGAGACUCGUGUAUGAAUAGAUAAUUGGUGAGGCAAUAACUUACUAAUGCGAUGAUCAGUAGCUGGUUCGAGAUGAUGAUCAUCAAUGUUGGGAUUGAGAGACGGCUCAGACUCUUAUGGGAGGUAGCACUGGGGAAUUUUCCACAAUGAACAAAAACAUGACGGAUAAAUUCCACGUGGAGGAAUAUGGACCACAGUUCAUGAAAUUUUUCUCCCGGAAAAAAAGCAUUGAAGGUAUCUUAAGAAUUAGCAUCGACUAACUUUGUGCCAGCGGCAAUGGUGAUACAAAGAAUUCAACCUUUAUCUAAAAUAAUUGGGAGUAAAAUGUCUGUAGAUGGAUUUUUAAGACUUCCAUCAACUACCACGACUCAACCUUAAACAAGCGACAAAAACUACCAAUAUGGAGUACAGUAGAAGCAUAGGAAAUUUUUGGUGGAGUGGUUAAAUGAGUAGAGAUCGUAAAGAACACCGACAAUAAAAACACUCUAUUGGGUUGACAGUAACACGAAGAUACUAAAGUUAAGGGAGUGAAUGGCUUUAGAUACCCCAAAUCAAUACUGACACGAGGAUAAGAAAGUUACGGGAGUGAAUGGGAUUAGAUACCCCUAUAGUCUUAGACGUAAACGAUGGAUACUAGGCGCUGUUCAUAUCAACAUGUGUAGUGUUGUUGCUAGAACAUUAAAUAUCUCUCCUGGGGUGUAAUUUCAAAAGAAUUAAAAUCAAAGGAAUUGAUGAGGGAGUGCAAAAGCAGUGGAGCAUGUGGUUUCAUUAGAUUCAAAGUGAAGAACCUUACCAUGGCUUGACAUGUCGCAGAUACUCUUGAAAGAGAGACGUUCCUUCGGGAAUGCGAACACAGGUGGUGUGUGUCUUUUGUCAUCUUUUGUCAUAAGGAGUUGGUUUAAGUCACAAUAAUCGCAACCCUCAUGUUUAGUUGCCAUUGUUGAGUUUGGACCAUGAAAAACUUGCAACAUGAUAAGUCGGAGGAAGGUGAGGAUGACGUGAAGUAACUAUGCUUCUUAUGCCUUCGGCGGCACACGUGAUACAAUUUUUGAGACAAAGGGUCGAGAUCCCGCAGGGUGAGCUAACCCCAAAAACCCGUCAUCAAUUUGGAUUGCAGGUUGCAACUCGCCUGCAUGAAGUCGAAAUGUGUACUAAUCGCCUGUGUCAUACAACUGUGAGUUCAUUCCAAAGCCCUGUAUACACUGCCUGUCACACUAUGGGAGAUGACCAUGCCCAAAAUUGUUAUGUUAGAUACAAGGAGGGGAUGCCGAAGGCAGGGCUAGUGACUAGAGUAAAGUCAAAACAACAUAGUUUAGUGGAAGGUGCAGCUGGAUCCUUUUUA